GGGCCCAUAGCUCAGUUGGUAGAGCAGUGGACUUUUAAUCCAUCGGUCCGGGGUUCGAGUCCCCGUGGGCCCA
rnacentral:tRNA from 1 species